rnacentral:rRNA from 1 species
UACGUAGGGUCCAAGCGUUAUCCGGAAUCACUGGCGUAAAGCGUGCGUAGGCGGAUGUUUAAGUGCAAUGCGAAAUCCUGUGGCUCAACCAUAUGGACUGUAUUGCAUACUGGAUAUCUGGAGGAAUGCAGAGGCAAGUGGAAUUACCGGUGUAGCAGUGAAAUGCGUAGAGAUCGGUAGGAACACCAAUGGCGAAGGCAGCUUGCUGGGCAUUUUCUGACGCUAAGGCACGAAAGCGUGGGGAGCGAACAGG